AACGAACGCUGGCGGCAUGCCUAACACAUGCAAGUCGAACGAGACCUUCGGGUCUAGUGGCGCACGGGUGCGUAACGCGUGGUAACCUGCCCUUAGGUUCGGAAUAACUCCCCGAAAGGGGUGCUAAUACCGGAUAAUGUCUUCGGACCAAAGAUUUAUCGCCUUUGGAUGGGCCCGCGUUGGAUUAGCUAGUUGUUAGGGUAAAAGCCUACCAAGGCGACGAUCCAUAGCUGGUCUGAGAGGAUGAUCAGCCACACUGGGACUGAGACACGGCCCAGACUCCUACGGGAGGCAGCAGUGGGGAAUAUUGGACAAUGGGCGAAAGCCUGAUCCAGCAAUGCCGCGUGAGUGAUGAAGGCCUUAGGGUUGUAAAGCUCUUUUACCCGGGAUGAUAAUGACAGUACCGGGAGAAUAAGCACCGGCUAACUACGUG
rnacentral:rRNA from 1 species